GACGAACGCUGGCGGCGUGCCUAAUACAUGCAAGUAGAACGCUGAAGAGAGGAGCUUGCUCUUCUUGGAUGAGUUGCGAACGGGUGAGUAACGCGUAGGUAACCUGCCUGGUAGCGGGGGAUAACUAUUGGAAACGAUAGCUAAUACCGCAUAAAAUUGAUUAUUGCAUGAUAAUUAAUUGAAAGAUGCAACUGCAUCACUACCAUAUGGACCUGCGUUGUAUUAGCUAGUUGGUGAUGUAACGGCUCACCAAGGCGACGAUACAUAGCCGACCUGAGAGGGUGAUCGGCCACAAUGGGACUGAGACAAGGCCCAGACUCCUACGGGAGGCAGCAGUAGGGAAUCUUCGGCAAUGGGGGGAAACCUGACCGAGCAACGCCGCGUGAGUGAAGAAGGUUUUCGGAUCGUAAAGAUCUGUUGUAAGAGAAGAACGGGUGUGAGAGUGGAAAGUUCACACUGUGACGGUAUCUUACCAGAAAGGGACGGCUAACUACGUG
rnacentral:rRNA from 1 species